ACCGGAAUCAUCUUUUCGUUAACUUUGAUAUCAGUCUCAUAAUUGACUUUAACUGACACAACUGACUGAUUCAGUUAUCAAGAAAACAUGAGCACUGACACUCCCUCAGUAUUUCAGCCUGCUUCUGUUCCUCCCUCUCUCUCAUUCACAAAAAUUGUACCCUGAGCUUUUUUCCCCUCUUUUUCUGAAAGGAGAAGGCUGUGACUAAAGUUAGUUAACUUCCUCUGAGCCAAUGAGCUGACAGCUGUGUUUCCAAGAUUGUCCAAUGAGACUGAGUGAGAGGUUGGAGGUGGAUGUUGCUUAGCAACUGCAGGUAGAACGGGAUCACGUUGAAGUCAUUGUCUUAUCAGAGGCCCCCAAGAGACUUCACAUGCAUUGUUUUGUGAUAUAAACGUAAAAAAAAAAAAAAGAUGCACGUGUAAAGUGCGUCAAAAAAAGCCCUAAAGUUUGACUUUGAUAGGAUUGAAAAGAAACAUUAUUGCUUUUGUAGAGUUGAUAAAGAAAUCCUUUCAUAGAGCUCUCUGAUAAAGUUAGGGGAAGUAGUGAGUGGGAACUCAAGUUUAUGACCACCACUUCAAUUCCAGAGGUUUCAAAUUCCUCUUUUCUGAUUUUUUUUUUUAAAGCAUAAUUUGAAUAUAGCCAUGCGUUAAGUUGGACUUCUGAGUGUGGUGUAGCCACGACAGUGACAAAGUCUCGGCAAGGAAAAAGGAUAGAGUUUUGGGUGGGCGUUCUCCAGAAUUUAAAACCAGAUUGCUCCUCGCUGUUUUUGUGACAGGUGAGUGGCGUAACACAGGCUAACACGCCCCCACCGCAGUGUAAACAAACACACGCAGUACCUCCUACGAAGCAACGUAGCCUCUCUCCCCCGCCAGCCAGCUCACAUCACAGAUGCCAUGCUUUGGUACCCGGCUAAUUACAGACUUAAGCACCACUGUACUCCUAACAUGUAAAAGAGAGAAAGUAGAGUUUGCCAGCUAACACUUUAGAGAUGAUGCAGCCUUGAUAACUUCCUGAACAAUCCUGUGGUCGUGCAUAUCACUACAUCUGACCUGGAGUUAUAUCGCACGGAUUUAUGUGUGUGUGUGUGUGUGUGUGUGUGUGUGUGUGUCUGUGUAUGGGUGGGGGCAUUAUUCUACCCUCGUUUUCCAUAUACUCCCACUAGUCUGAAUAUAAACCCAUCUUGUUGAAUCUGUCCUUUUCCCCUGUUUAUGUGAACAAUGUUUAUGAACACUGAAUAGGAAUGUUAUGCAUUUUAAUGGUUGUCUGUGUCCAAGUUGAAUUCAUAGCUGAAACAGUAGAGCAUGGCACCAGAAAGGAGCUGUGAGAGAGUGAGGAUAAGAGAA
ensembl:lncRNA